CACACACAAAUCUAUGAUUAAUUUUCCAUAGUAUGCAGGUACUGUUACACAGUUAACAAUUGGUAUCUUUCCUGUUAGUUAUCUGUUUGCCCUUUUCAGAUUAAUAGCUCCAGACUUUCUUCUGAGGGUCUAUUAGUGUUCCAGCAGGUAGACUCACCUCUCCAUCCCCAGUUUGAGCUCCAGAAGUUGUGAGUGAUUCAGGCUUGGUCCAUCAGAGCCUUGGCUUCCUCUGGCCUCAGUGGUUGGUUGGAGAAUGGAUGUAUCACCAUCAAAGUUAAUGAAUGAUAGCCAGAUAUUUGCUGAGGUUUCUGGAACUAAGAGAGAUAAUCCUUCCCCUCUGCAGAGUACCUGGAAACUGUCACUGAAGUUCUCUCCUCCAUCUGGCUAAUGUAUGAGGCACAUGAGAAUGAAAUCUGCACAGUGGACAGCAAACAAGAAAGACGGAAGAAACCAGCACAUAGUAAUUUUACUUAAGUUCUGAUCAAGACCUUCCUGAAUUCAGUCCCACCUCUAGACUUUUUAGGAACCAGAAGUGGAAGUGUCAAAAUUCUCACCACAAAGCUUGUUAGGAGGUGUUCCACCCAAGCUGGCAACCCCAGGAGGUUUGGAAAGUACAAAUAAGAGACCAAAUUGUCAAGGAGAUGAGAAUUACAAUUCUGGAGGAAAUUAUAGUUUACUGUCUAUUAAAUCUGAAAAGAGUUUCAGAAUAUUUUUCUCUUUGGAAGAAGUUAAGAUGAUCCACACACUAAAAGUAGUGAGAGGAAAGAAAGACAAGAAAUUGGACCAGGAGAGAAAGUUUUAGCUCUCUAAGGAACACAGAGCACCUGAAAGGCAUACGGGUACCGAAGCAUGGCUUAAGGGCUUCUGUUAGAUGUGACCGAGGGUUAUGAACUGGGUCUACUUUAAUGUUUUUCUGUAAGACAAAAAUCUAAGAUGGGGUUGUUCUAAAAUCACUUAUGACUAUUAAAUUGU